CAAGGCAAUGAUGCGUAGCCGAACUGAGAGGUUGAUCGGCCACAUUGGGACUGAGACACGGCCCAAACUCCUACGGGAGGCAGCAGUAGGGAAUCUUCCACAAUGGGCGAAAGCCUGAUGGAGCAACGCCGCGUGGGUGAAGAAGGUCUUCGGAUCGUAAAACCCUGUUGUUAGAGAAGAAAGUGCGUGAGAGUAACUGUUCACGUUUCGACGGUAUCUAACCAGAAAGCCACGGCUAACUACGUGCCAGCAGCCGCGGUAAUACGUAGGUGGCAAGCGUUAUCCGGAUUUAUUGGGCGUAAAGGGAACGCAGGCGGUCUUUUAAGUCUGAUGUGAAAGCCUUCGGCUUAACCGGAGUAGUGCAUUGGAAACUGGGAGACUUGAGUGCAGAAGAGGAGAGUGGAACUCCAUGUGUAGCGGUGAAAUGCGUAGAUAUAUGGAAGAACACCAGUGGCGAAAGCGGCUCUCUGGUCUGUAACUGACGCUGAGGUUCGAAAGCGUGGGUAGCAAACAGGAUUAGAUACCCUGGUAGUCCACGCCGUAAACGAUGAAU
rnacentral:rRNA from 1 species